rnacentral:pre_miRNA from 1 species
AAUAAGUGCAGUUUUACACUAUUCACGUUCAACGUUUGACCGUUCGUCUUAUUUAAAAUUUUUUUAUGAUUAGUAUUUUUAUUGCUAUUAGAUGAUAAAACAUGAAUAGUACUUUAUGCGUGACUAAAUAUUUUUAAAUUUUUCAUAAAUUUUUCAAAUAAGACGGACGGUCAAACGUUGAGCACGGAUAUCCACGGCUACACUUAUU